GACGAACGCUGGCGGCGUGCUUAACACAUGCAAGUCGAACGGAAAGGCUCCUGCUUGCAGGGGUACUCGAGUGGCGAACGGGUGAGUAACACGUGGGUGAUCUGCCUUGUACUCUGGGAUAAGCUUGGGAAACUGGGUCUAAUACCGGAUAAUAGCCGCCUUUAGUGUGGUGGUUGGAAAGUUUUUUCGGUGCAAGAUGAGCUCGCGGCCUAUCAGCUUGUUGGUGGGGUAAUGGCCUACCAAGGCGUCGACGGGUAGCCGGCCUGAGAGGGUGUACGGCCACAUUGGGACUGAGAUACGGCCCAGACUCCUACGGGAGGCAGCAGUGGGGAAUAUUGCACAAUGGGCGGAAGCCUGAUGCAGCGACGCCGCGUGGGGGAUGACGGCCUUCGGGUUGUAAACUCCUUUCGACAGGGACGAAGCUUUUGUGACGGUAC
rnacentral:rRNA from 1 species